AACGCUAGCUACAGGCUUAACACAUGCAAGUCGAGGGGAAACGACAUCGAAAGCUUGCUUUCGAUGGGCGUCGACCGGCGCACGGGUGAGUAACGCGUAUCCAACCUGCCCACCACUUGGGGAUAACCUUGCGAAAGUAAGACUAAUACCCAAUGAUAUCCCACGAAGGCAUCCGAAUGGGAUUAAAGAUUUAUCGGUGAUGGAUGGGGAUGCGUCUGAUUAGCUUGUUGGCGGGGUAACGGCCCACCAAGGCUACGAUCAGUAGGGGUUCUGAGAGGAAGGUCCCCCACAUUGGAACUGAGACACGGUCCAAACUCCUACGGGAGGCAGCAGUGAGGAAUAUUGGUCAAUGGGCGAGAGCCUGAACCAGCCAAGUAGCGUGCAGGAUGACGGCCCUAUGGGUUGUAAACUGCUUUUAUAAGGGAAUAAAGUGGGUCUCGUGAGACUUUUUGCAUGUACCUUAUGAAUAAGGACCGGCUAAUUCCGUGCCAGCAGCCGCGGUAAUACGGAAGGUCCGGGCGUUAUCCGGAUUUAUUGGGUUUAAAGGGAGCGUAGGCCGGAGAUUAAGCGUGUUGUGAAAUGUAGUGGCUCAACCUCUGCACUGCAGCGCGAACUGGUCUUCUUGAGUACGCACAACGUGGGCGGAAUUCGUGGUGUAGCGGUGAAAUGCUUAGAUAUCACGAAGAACUCCGAUUG
rnacentral:rRNA from 1 species